UACGUAGGUGGCGAGCGUUGUCCGGAUUUAUUGGGCGUAAAGCGCGCGCAGGCGGUCGCGUAAGUCUGCUGUGAAAUCUCCCUGGCUCAACCGGGAGGGGGCGGCGGAGACUGCGGGACUGGAGGGACCUAGAGGCCGGUGGAAUUCCCGGUGUAGUGGUGAAAUGCGUAGAGAUCGGGAGGAACACCUGUGGCGAAGGCGAGUCUCUGGACAUUUCCUGACGCUGAGGCACGAAAGCCAGGGGAGCAAACGGG
rnacentral:rRNA from 1 species